GUCUUCUUGUUAGAUAAUUAGAGGUCUAGCCUGCCCAAUGUUGAAUUAAUGGCCGCGGUAUUUUGACCGUGCGAAGGUAGCAUAAUGAAUAGUCUAUUAAUUGUGGUCUGGAAUGAAAGGUUUGACGGAGAAUAACUUUCUUGUGCUUAAUGUUGAAUUUAAAUUACUAGUAAAAAUGCUGGUUUGGAGUAGGAGGACGAGAAGACCCUAUAGAGCUUUAUACAUACACUUGUUUUUGUGGUAAAUGGGCGAGUAUAUUGUAUUUUGUUGGGGCGACAUUAAAUAUUAAACAUUUAAUUUAGUUUUCUUUUAUUAUAGGUGUUAUGAUCCAUUAAUAAUGAUAUAAGACUAAGUUACCUUAGGGAUAACAGCGUAAUUUUACUUUAGAGUUCUUAUCGACAGUAAAGAUUGCGACCUCGAUGUUGGAUUAGGAUACCUGUAAUGGCGCAGGAGUCUUACAAGGUAGUCUGUUCGACUAUUUAAUUCCUACA
rnacentral:rRNA from 1 species